rnacentral:rRNA from 1 species
GGGCACGACACCGGAGAGGGAGCCUGAGAAACGGCUACCACAUNCAAGGAUGGCAGCAGGCGCGCAAAUUACCCAAUCCCGACACGGGGAGGUAGUGACAAUAAAUAACAAUACGGGGUUCUUUAGGAUCUCGUAAUUGGAAUGAGUACAAUUUAAAUCUCUUAACGAGGAACAAUUGGAGGGCAAGUCUGGUGCCAGCAGCCGCGGUAAUUCCAGCUCCAAUAGCGUAUAUUAAAGUUGUUGCAGUUAAAAAGCUCGUAGUUGAAUUUCGGGGUUAGUAGGUUGGUCAUGCCUCUGGUAUGUACUGGUCUCACUGAUUCCUCCUUCCUUAUGAACCGUAAUGCCAUUAAUUUGGUGUUGCGGGGAAUUUGGACUGUUACUUUGAAAAAAUUAGAGUGUUUAAAGCAAGCUAACGCUUGAAUACAUUAGCAUGGAAUAAUGAAAUAGGACGUUCGAUCUUAUUUUGUUGGUUUCUAGGAUUGACGUAAUGAUUAAUAGGGAUAGUUGGGGGCAUUAGUAUUCAAUUGUCAGAGGUGAAAUUCUUGGAUUUAUUGAAGACUAACUACUGCGAAAGCAUUUGCCAAGGAUGUUUUCAUUAAUCAAGAACGAAAGUUAGGGGAUCGAAGACGAUCAGAUACCGUCGUAGUCUUAACCAUAAACUAUGCCGACUAGGGAUCGGAUGAUGUUAAUUUUUUAAUGACUCAUUCGGCGCCUUACGGGAAACCAAAGUG